rnacentral:lncRNA from 1 species
GUUCACCACCACUGAGAGCACAUUCCGUACCUUUUGUAGCCUUCUCCGUGUCCAGGGACCGGAUCCUUCUGCGCUCAUGAAAUACUGCUGAGAAGUCGAGUAAUUACUGUCCAGGCAGGAAGGGGUCAAGCUUUGAGGUGAACAUUUGACAACAUUCAGAGGCAGCUUGCCACCGCUUCCCACAGCCCAAGGAAGGGAAGAGUACUUAAUACGUAUCCCCACUUCCUCCAAGUGGAGGCUGACAUUUUCUUGCUGCUUCACCCAGCAGGAGGGACUACCUGGGCUUUAUUAUGACACAGGGCUUUUAGGAUGCAGCAAGGAAGCGACAUUUUUCUCUUCCCGCCUCUGCCCCUGAGCCCCACCCCCUACUCAUUCCCUGGUCACAAGCUUCCUAUGCUUUUGGUAGAAAAAAGGGCAGUGAGGAGAAAAGCGCGCUCCGGCUGAAGUUCACCUUGUGUUCUGCCAGCCUUGGGCAGUCAAUAAACUGCCAUUUGACCUCAGUCUUGCGGGUCAAGGUGAGCAAGCACGUUCCCAGCUGGGCUCCUUUUCGCCUCUGCCCACAUCUUAGACUCUGGCAUCCCUAGCUCAGGGCUUAUCUGCUUCAGAGUUCCCCAGUGGAAGAGCAGUUAACCCUUACCUGUCAGUUCCGUCUAUCCCGGCCCCAAAUUCAGUGGUUUAAUUGCGAAUCCCUGUCUGGAUAGCAAAAGUCAGAGAGACCUGAAGCCGAGUGCAAUACAAGGGGCCACGUGGAGCUGGGAGAUAAAGAAAAC